rnacentral:rRNA from 1 species
UACGUAGGGUGCAAGCGUUGUUCGGAUUUACUGGGCGUAAAGGGCGCGUAGGCGGCCAGCACAAGUCAGUUGUGAAAUCUCCGAGCUUAACUCGGAAAGGUCAACUGAUACUGUGCGGCUAGAGUGCAGAAGGGGCAACUGGAAUUCUCGGUGUAGCGGUGAAAUGCGUAGAUAUCGAGAGGAACACCUGCGGCGAAGGCGGGUUGCUGGGCUGACACUGGCGCUGAGGCGCGAAAGCCAGGGGAGCGAACGGG